rnacentral:rRNA from 1 species
UGAGGAAUUUUGCGCAAUGGGAGCAAUCCUGACGCAGCAACGCCGCGUGGGUGAUGAAGGCCUUCGGGUCGUAAAGCCCUGUCAGGUGGGAAGAAUGUCCCGGAACUGAACAGGUUUCGGGAGUGACGGUACCACCAGAGGAAGCACCGGCUAACUCCGUGCCAGCAGCCGCGGUAAUACGGAGGGUGCAAGCGUUAUUCGGAAUUACUGGGCGUAAAGCGCGUGUAGGCGGUCCCGCAAGUCUGAUGUGAAAGCCCCGGGCUUAACCCGGGAAGUGCAUUGGAAACUGUGGGACUUGAGUACUGGAGAGGAUGGGUGAAUUCCCGGUGUAGAGGUGAAAUCCGUAGAGAUCGGGAGGAAUAUCAGUGGCGAAGGCGCCCAUCUGGACGGUAACUGACGCUGAGACGCGAAAGCGUGGGGAGCAAACA